rnacentral:rRNA from 1 species
GACGAACGCUGGCGGCGCGCUUAACACAUGCAAGUCGAGCGAAGCGGCGGACGGGUGAGUAACACGUGAGUAACCUGCCUUAGACAUUGGGAUAGCCUCGGGAAACCGGGAUUAAUACCAAAUGGUCGAAGAUGGACUCGCGUCCCAUUAGCUAGUUGGUGGGUAAAGGCCCACCAAGGCGACGAUGGGUAGCCGGCCUGAGAUGGUGAACGGCCACAUUGGACCUGCGAAACGGUCCAAACUCUACGGGGGGCAGCAGUGGGGAAUAUUGCGCGAUGGAGGGAACUCUGAUGCAGCUGGGCCGCGUGAACGAAGAAGGCUUUCGAGUCUUAAAGUUCUUUUAUAUGGGAAGCGGUACCAUAAGAAAAAGCCCCGGCUAACUACGUGCCAGCAGCCGCGGUAAUUC